UAAACUUGUAUCUGUAUAAUUUGCUUUCUUUCAGGUCAUUUAACCCAUUUGUUCCACUUCUUCAUUGUUCCAUGCCUGCAGUACAGAUGUGGUCCCUGUGGGGAAUUCACCAUGUGUGCUCCAGAAAUGGUCCACGUUACAUUCCUCUUCUUGUUGAUAGUGGAGUCAUGGAGAGUGUUGAGAAAAUUUGUAAUAAUCCAUUUAAUGGAGUCAGUGAGCUGGCACAGAAGCUCAUAAAUACUGUGACAGAUUUCCAGUCAUCUAGAAAGUGAAUAAUGCGAAUUGCUUUUAAACAGGCACUGAUCAUAUUUUGUAGUAAACUACAUGGCAUCAAGAAAUUGUAUAUUUUUGCAGAAAAUGUAGAAAUAGAAUAAAUAAUUUGCAUUUU